rnacentral:tRNA from 1 species
AGGGGCGUGGUGAAAUGGUAUCAUAAGGGUCUCCAAAACCCUUGGUCUGAGUUCGAUUCUCAGCGCCCCUG